GGGUUGUGAGGUUAAGCGACUAAGCGUACACGGUGGAUGCCCUGGCAGUCAGAGGCGAUGAAGGACGUGCUAAUCUGCGAAAAGCGUCGGUAAGGUGAUAUGAACCGUUAUAACCGGCGAUGUCCGAAUGGGGAAACCCAGUGCAAUUCGUUGCACUAUCGUUAACUGAAUACAUAGGUUAACGAGGCGAACCGGGGGAACUGAAACAUCUAAGUACCCCGAGGAAAAGAAAUCAACCGAGAUUCCCCCAGUAGCGGCGAGCGAACGGGGAGCAGCCCAGAGUCUGAAUCAGCUUGUGUGUUAGUGGAACGGUCUGGAAAGUCCGACGGUACAGGGUGAUAGUCCCGUACACCAAAAUGCACAGGUUGUGAACUCGAAGAGUAGGGCGGGACACGUGGUAUCCUGUCUGAAUAUGGGGGGACCAUCCUCCAAGGCUAAAUACUCCUGACUGACCGAUAGUGAACCAGUACCGUGAGGGAAAGGCGAAAAGAACCCCGGCGAGGGGAGUGAAAAAGAACCUGAAACCGUGUACGUACAAGCAGUGGGAGCACCUUCGGGUGUGACUGCGUACCUUUUGUAUAAUGGGUCAGCGACUUAUAUUCUGUAGCAAGGUUAACCGUAUAGGGGAGCCGCAGGGAAACCGAGUCUUAACUGGGCGUUAAGUUGCAGGGUAUAGACCCGAAACCCGGUGAUCUAGCCAUGGGCAGGUUGAAGGUUGGGUAACACUAACUGGAGGACCGAACCGACUAAUGUUGAAAAAUUAGCGGAUGACUUGUGGCUGGGGGUGAAAGGCCAAUCAAACCGGGAGAUAGCUGGUUCUCCCCGAAAGCUAUUUAGGUAGCGCCUCGUGAACUCAUCUUCGGGGGUAGAGCACUGUUUCGGCUAGGGGGUCAUCCCGACUUACCAACCCGAUGCAAACUACGAAUACCGAAGAAUGUUAUCACGGGAGACACACGGCGGGUGCUAACGUCCGUCGUGAAGAGGGAAACAACCCAGACCGCCAGCUAAGGUCCCAAAGUCAUGGUUAAGUGGGAAACGAUGUGGGAAGGCACAGACAGCCAGGAUGUUGGCUUAGAAGCAGCCAUCAUUUAAAGAAAGCGUAAUAGCUCACUGGUCGAGUCGGCCUGCGCGGAAGAUGUAACGGGGCUAAACCAUGCACCGAAGCUGCGGCAGCGACACUAUGUGUUGUUGGGUAGGGGAGCGUUCUGUAAGCCUGCGAAGGUGACCUGUGAGGGUUGCUGGAGGUAUCAGAAGUGCGAAUGCUGACAUAAGUAACGAUAAAGCGGGUGAAAAGCCCGCUCGCCGGAAGACCAAGGGUUCCUGUCCAACGUUAAUCGGGGCAGGGUGAGUCGACCCCUAAGGCGAGGCCGAAAGGCGUAGUCGAUGGGAAACAGGUUAAUAUUCCUGUACUUGGUGUUACUGCGAAGGGGGGACGGAGAAGGCUAUGUUAGCCGGGCGACGGUUGUCCCGGUUUAAGCAUGUAGGCUGGUUGUCCAGGCAAAUCCGGAUAAUCAAGGCUGAGGUGUGAUGACGAGGUACUACGGUGCUGAAGUAACAAAUGCCCUGCUUCCAGGAAAAGCCUCUAAGCAUCAGGUAACAUCAAAUCGUACCCCAAACCGACACAGGUGGUCAGGUAGAGAAUACCAAGGCGCUUGAGAGAACUCGGGUGAAGGAACUAGGCAAAAUGGUGCCGUAACUUCGGGAGAAGGCACGCUGGUGUGUAGGUGAAGUCCCUGCGGAUGGAGCUGAGACCAGUCGAAGAUACCAGCUGGCUGCAACUGUUUAUUAAAAACACAGCACUGUGCAAACACGAAAGUGGACGUAUACGGUGUGACGCCUGCCCGGUGCCGGAAGGUUAAUUGAUGGGGUUAUCCGUAAGGAGAAGCUCUUGAUCGAAGCCCCGGUAAACGGCGGCCGUAACUAUAACGGUCCUAAGGUAGCGAAAUUCCUUGUCGGGUAAGUUCCGACCUGCACGAAUGGCGUAAUGAUGGCCAGGCUGUCUCCACCCGAGACUCAGUGAAAUUGAACUCGCUGUGAAGAUGCAGUGUACCCGCGGCAAGACGGAAAGACCCCGUGAACCUUUACUAUAGCUUGACACUGAACAUUGAGCCUUGAUGUGUAGGAUAGGUGGGAGGCUUUGAAGCGUGGACGCCAGUCUGCGUGGAGCCAACCUUGAAAUACCACCCUUUAAUGUUUGAUGUUCUAACGUUGGCCCCUGACCGGGGUUGCGGACAGUGUCUGGUGGGUAGUUUGACUGGGGCGGUCUCCUCCCAAAGCGUAACGGAGGAGCACGAAGGUUAGCUAAUCCUGGUCGGACAUCAGGAGGUUAGUGCAAUGGCAUAAGCUAGCUUGACUGCGAGCGUGACGGCGCGAGCAGGUGCGAAAGCAGGUCAUAGUGAUCCGGUGGUUCUGAAUGGAAGGGCCAUCGCUCAACGGAUAAAAGGUACUCCGGGGAUAACAGGCUGAUACCGCCCAAGAGUUCAUAUCGACGGCGGUGUUUGGCACCUCGAUGUCGGCUCAUCACAUCCUGGGGCUGAAGUAGGUCCCAAGGGUAUGGCUGUUCGCCAUUUAAAGUGGUACGCGAGCUGGGUUUAGAACGUCGUGAGACAGUUCGGUCCCUAUCUGCCGUGGGCGCUGGAGAAUUGAGGGGGGCUGCUCCUAGUACGAGAGGACCGGAGUGGACGCAUCACUGGUGUUCGGGUUGUCAUGCCAAUGGCACUGCCCGGUAGCUAAAUGCGGAAGAGAUAAGUGCUGAAAGCAUCUAAGCACGAAACUUGCCCCGAGAUGAGUUCUCCCUGAGACUUUAAGUCUCCUGAAGGAACGUU
rnacentral:rRNA from 1 species